UAGAGGAACAGUUCUAUUUUAUUGUAUUCUUUUCAAGUUGAGCAUUCGUCUUCCACUCUAUCGUGAUAACUGGCAUACUGAUUAGGCAGUGCUAGUAAUAGCAACAUCCACUGUCUGUUUCGAGUAGUACUGUAGUCUCAGUCUGUGUCAUCCGAAGAGCAGGAUUGCCUUGUCGUCGUGCAUACCGCAGUAGCUGCUGUCCGACACAUUUUGAUCAGAAUGGCAAAGAAAAAACAAUCCUAAAGUAAGCGUCACAAGGAGGUGGGACGUAAGCGAGAGGAGCGCUCGGCAAAGCCAGCUUUGAAACAUGAGAGACAAAGCAAGAGAGAAAACUACCUGGAAGAGGACGAUGUUGAAUUCAUCAGCUUUGCUAACCAGCUGCAGGCAAAAGGCUUGAAAAUCAAGGAUGUCCCGGGAGAUGGAAGAAUGGCAAGAAGAGAUGCUCCCAUCCGCAGUACGGCCGAAAGAAGAAGAGCAAGCCGGCACCGGCACGGAAGAGAAAAGAUUUCGCUGCGCGUGUCCUGACCCGGCUGGAGAAGGAUAAAAGUGCAUUCUUCACCAUCACGCUGAUUUCUUCAUAAAAGAUUGCCAACCUUAAACCCAUGCAGGAGGAUGUGGCCGAGCAGCAAAGCAGCAAUGUGAUGGAGAGUCGGGAUUCAAUUCUUGCGUACUUUCGUAAGAAUCAUCUCGAGUUUACAACUUUGCUGCACGCGCAGUACGCUACACUGUGCAUGCUCAUCGAGCUGCAAAGCCAGUGCAAUAAUCGGCU